rnacentral:piRNA from 1 species
UCCAAGUCGGAACCCGUGGUGACUUACCUG